GGAUCAAGGAAUCGGUCAUGCCUCGGUAUGUACUGGUUUUAUUGGUUCUCACCUUCUAAAGAACCAUAAUGUCAUUUAUUUGAUGUUGCAGGGAAUCAGGACUGUUACUUUGAAAAAAUUAGAGUGUUUAAAGCAGGCUUUAGCUUGAAUACAUUAGCAUGGAAUAAUGAAAUAGGACGUUCGAUCCUAUUUUGUUGGUUUCUAGGAUCGACGUA
rnacentral:rRNA from 1 species